UCAGUCAGUCUGCAAUUUUUUGCCAUUUGUUCCUGCUUAGAUCCUGUUUCGUGUUAUGCCUGAUUUCCCUUGCCUGGCACAGUUUUCCUCUCCGCUACAGUUCUGCCCGCUCUGACUUAGGCCCCUGUCUCCAGUCCCACGUCUCGGUCCUGCUACUCUGUCCUGGACCCCCCCACUCCACAGUGUCCUUGGAUUUGAUGAGUUAGUGUCAAGGGAUGAGCCGGAUGGACUGGAGGAGCUCAUCUCCCUCACCACCACAUUGACCACCGUCUCCGUGAGCGUCGGAGGGAAAGGGCAGUCUCUUCCAGAACCUGAACCCAUGCAGCUCGGCCCGUCUCUCACCUGAGAAGAGGCAGCAGCGAAUCAGCACUAGGAGCUGCCUAUACUGUGGCCAGAGCCUGGUCAAUGAUGUACUGAGGGAUGUGAUUGGACGCUUCGUUUUUUGUCUAUAAGGACUCUGAGGCUCACCAGGAACACGUUCUCCAACGGCUGUUGGAGAAUAAGCUUUUUGUUAAAACUGAAAAAUUUCUGCCCACUCUGUCUUUGGCCCCUGUCUCCGGUCCCAUGUCUCGUCAGUCCUGCUACUCUGUCCUGCACCCCCCCACUCCACAGCGUCCUUGGAUUCCUCUCUGGACCUGCUUACCCAAUACCAACUCCAGCCUCAGCCUCCGCACCUGGCUACCUGCAACCCGUCCGAGCUUCCCCUGGCCUGCACCCCAUCUUCCCCCUGUGUUUCAAUAAAUACCUUGGUU